rnacentral:rRNA from 1 species
GCAGUCGACGGUAACAGGUCUUCGGAUGCUGACGAGUGGCGAACGGGUGAGUAAUACAUCGGAACGUGCCCGAUCGUGGGGGAUAACGAAGCGAAAGCUUUGCUAAUACCGCAUAAGAUCUACGGAUGAAAGCAGGGGACCGCAAGGCCUUGCGCGAACGGAGCGGCCGAUGGCAGAUUAGGUAGUUGGUGGGAUAAAAGCUUACCAAGCCGACGAUCUGUAGCUGGUCUGAGAGGACGACCAGCCACACUGGGACUGAGACACGGCCCAGACUCCUACGGGAGGCAGCAGUGGGGAAUUUUGGACAAUGGGCGAAAGCCUGAUCCAGCCAUGCCGCGUGCAGGAUGAAGGCCUUCGGGUUGUAAACUGCUUUUGUACGGAACGAAAAGACUCUGGUUAAUACCUGGGGUCCAUGACGGUACCGUAAGAAUAAGCACCGGCUAACUACGUGCCAGCAGCCGCGGUAAUACGUAGGGUGCAAGCGUUAAUCGGAAUUACUGGGCGUAAAGCGUGCGCAGGCGGUUAUAUAAGACAGAUGUGAAAUCCCCGGGCUCAACCUGGGAACUGCAUUUGUGACUGUAUAGCUAGAGUACGGCAGAGGGGGAUGGAAUUCCGCGUGUAGCAGUGAAAUGCGUAGAUAUGCGGAGGAACACCGAUGGCGAAGGCAAUCCCCUGGGCCUGUACUGACGCUCAUGCACGAAAGCGUGGGGAGCAA